AACGCACCUUGCGCCCUUUGGUAUUCCGAAGGGCAUGCCUGUUUGAGUGUCAUUAAAUUCUCAACCCAAAAAGCUUUUACUAGCUCUUUUGUGGCUUGGAUGUGGGGGUUUUUGCUGGCUUCCUUCAGUGGAUGGUCUGCUCCCCUUAAAUACAUUAGUGGGAUCUCUUGUGGACCGUCACUUGGUGUGAUAAUUAUCUAUGCCAGUUGACUUUGAAGCAAAACUUAUGGGAACCCGCUCAUAACCGUCUUCGGACAACUUAUUGACAUUUUGACCUCAAAUCAGGUAGGACUACCCGCUGAACUUAA
rnacentral:misc_RNA from 1 species